UGGAACAGCUCUUCAGAUGUGUGGUACAGUAAGUGUUCCUGUGAAGUAUUUCUAUCACAAACACACUCUCAUGGAAAGACACCGCAUGAAAGGCGUCCACAUGCCAGGCAGAGCCAGUGCCAUGAUUUCCCCUUGAUAAGUAGAUGUGGCCCUUCUCUAUUCACUGCAGUAUAGGCUGCAUUUCUUCCCCUCCUUGCCAGGUCAGAGGGGCCCUGAUAACAGGGAGGUGUUCUCCAAGCCUCCUGUAUUGCUCAAAAGAGAAUAAGCUCCUCUAUUUAGAAGAACAGAUGGUUUGCACUUCCAACAUUCAGUGAAACACCCAACAGUCAGAGGAGGAGAUGGCCAGGUUCAACACAGCUGGACAGUUUCAGUGUUUAUCACAGCCCCCUGGGCAGCCAGCAGCAACUGUGAGCCCAGGAACACUGAAAAGAUGCAACACUGAGGGUGGCUACCAUGGGCAUUUCUGAGUGUGUUUGGGUCAUGAUUUAGCUCCCAACAAACAGAAUGAGGAAGCUCAGACCUAAGCAUUUCCUCUAACUCAUAGAUGAAACGCACAAUGGUUCCACAGAGAGUUCUCUCAAAGGAUUUAGGACCAUUUAGGAGUAAUAAA